UUGCCACAGAAAAUAAUCUUGAUUAUAAUUAACGAGUGCGCACUGCCGUGACUGAGUUUAGUUUCUGAGACAUAUGAAACAAUAACCUUUUCUGACGGGUGAAGUUAGCAGUGCAUGAUUCCACGAGCGUCUUCGGGUACCUGGUCGAUGUGGUGAUCAAGCUCCUGACGAAAAAAAUUAUAGGGAGAAAAAACCAACCCGUUAGCAGUUAGAAGCCAGUCUGAACGACACGAGCGAGGCGUGUUCACAUGAAAGGAAAACCUGAAGUAGCCUGUUAAUGUAAAACAGUCUUUAAAAGGUUUCUGGCGGGGUUCUUGAAUCUUUCAGAUCGCCAAGAAGAUCCCUGAUGCUUUGAAGUGAUUAACUAACGAUGGAUGAGGCUCAUUCAAAACGAAUGAUACACCAGGGUGGAAUUUGAGGAGCACCGAAAGAGGAUGAUGGCGGCUUGAGUAAUUUAUCAUCGAGAGCUAUCUGUCACGAAGAUAAAGCCUAGGAGAGUUUCCUCUCUAUGUAGAGCUUCAAACUUGGCAUCGAUGUAUAGACAAGCCAUUUACAAGGAGCGCCAUCUUUAUUUUUUCAACCAAUUUUUCAAAGCAUACUCUUAGAUACGUCAAUGAUAAUGAAUCAGAUUGAUAGAAGAAAAUUCAAGAGUGAAAUAUGUGAAGUAUUUGAUAUUUUAUAAUAGAAUAUAUCAGAGCUUGUGAACGUUGGCGUAUUGGGUAUUAUGUUAUAAUUAUUAUUUAAUUUAAUAUUAAAUUUGCGUAAUUAAUUAAGGAUGGUAGGAGCUAUGAUAAAAACUAAAUUAUCAGUAUCAGUAGCUAUGAUACUUAUAAACAGAGUAUAUUCAACAUAAGCUAUGCAUCCGAGUUAUGGAUCUGAUGUAUACGAGGCUGAGCUAUAAAUCUGAGCUGUGAAUCAGAGUUAUGAAAUAUCCUCUAUAUUUUACCUCCACUCGAAUAAUAUCGUUGCAAAAGUUAUUUUCUAUUAAAAACAAAAAAUAAUCCAAGUUAUGAAAUUACGGAUUUAUCCAAGCACGAGGAAAUGGAAUACGUAGAAGAAAUAAGAUACGUGAUAUCAGUGAAUAUAAUUUAUCCUCUUUGAAAUGUGAAACAUUUUUUUAAAAUCGUAGCAUCGCGUCACAGAGCACGAGAAUUUAAAAAAAAUUAAUUUUUGGCUCGCGUGUACCUAGAAACAUGUUACAAAUAUUUUAACAAUCAACAGAAUGCUGGAGUAAAAAAAAAUUAGAAAAAACCGUAAAAUGUAUUAAACUGAAAUAUUCCAUCAACUUUCUAGUGUAAAGAAGUCCCAAAGGUUUUUUCACACUGUUCACGCUGUACCUUUCAAAAAAUUCAAUUAAAUUUUCUUGUAUUCAACUAGACUGACGUUAGAAACGUAUUACUAGCAGUAACUAGAAUAACAGUGAAAGAAAAACAUAAAAAAAAGAUAUCCAAUUUAAAAUAUCUAACCCUUGAAAGGAUCCCACGUAUUCUCAGGUGUACCAACAGCUGAAUACCACUGCAAUUUACACCGCACAAGAGCUUUUAUGAACCUUUUCCAUGCGAAGCUAGUAAAAGUGAAAAAGGAAUGAAGCUAGAAGACCUUUUCCUUGUGAUCCUUGUAUUAGACACUUAUGCAUAUCAGAACAGCACUCCAGCCAUUUUGUUUUUCUAACAACUUUCCAUCUCGCUACGUCGAGUGUUCAAAUAUCAAGUGGAAAUAUUUUUUGCCACUCCUUUAACCUUUUGCUUCACGUCAUCAAUCCUAAAUUAGGUUACCCGUUCCUUCAGCUGUAUCCAACUUCAUACAUUUAUUUUUCAUUAGCCAUACUUAUAUUUCAACGAAUGAAAUAACCAGCAUUCCUUAUUAAUUUUACUCCUGGAUAUAUAUCAAGGAUAUCAUUUAUUAUACUGACAAAUAAUUAACUUGUCCAUCCAACCAUUUAAUUAACAUAAAAUAAUUAAUUUUGCAGAUACCAAAGUGCAAGUUUUUAUGAUGAACUUGCAGUCGAUGUCGAAAUGGCAUAAUAAUUUAACAAUACCCAUUGUUAAGGAACACAUAAAGGAUGGACUAGCAUAUUUCAAAAUAAUCUGAAAUAUGAAAUAUUUAACAGCUGUAUCCUGUAUAAACACAAAGAACAUGCACCUACAAUCGCAAAAAGGAUCAUUGUGCCAAAUGACUGUAACAAAUGGCAGCCAUUAAAGAUUCGAGCAAGAGGAAGCGUCAAGGGAAAGAAGAAAAAAAAGUGUAGAUCCUUCGCAGAAAGGUGUCCGGAUACUCCCUUUUCAUAGGGAAAUCGAUCUUCCAAAUAAGGGUUGGCCAUUGUGACUUUCUGAGUACUAUAAGUAAACCGCAAGCAAACAGAAGCGAAACACCAGCGGAUCUGUGCGGUUGCGUUGUCUCAAGUCGAUAUUUACGUAUAGAACAAGCGAUAGGGACUUUUAGUGGUCGCGUUAAGCUACCGCCCUGACGUAAGAAAUGCGGCGCCCUAUUAAAGCAGCAUAAAUCAUUUAGUAA